GACGAACGCUGGCGGCGUGCUUAACACAUGCAAGUCGAACGAGAAGAGAUGAGAAGCUUGCUUCUUAUCAAUUCGAGUGGCAAACGGGUGAGUAACGCGUAAGCAACCUGCCCUUCAGAUGGGGACAACAGCUGGAAACGGCUGCUAAUACCGAAUACGUCUUUUUGUCGCAUGGCAGAGGGAAGAAAGGGGAGGCUCUUCGGAGCUUUCGCUGAAGGAGGGGCUUGCGUCUGAUUAGCUAGUUGGAGGGGUAACGGCCCGACCAAGGCGACGAUCAGUAGCCGGUCUGAGAGGAUGAACGGCACAUUGGGACUGAGACACGGCCCAGACUCCUACGGGAGGCAGCAGUGGGGAAUCUUCCGCAAUGGACGAAAGUCUGACGGAGCAACGCCGCG
rnacentral:rRNA from 1 species